rnacentral:rRNA from 1 species
UACGUAGGGGGCAAGCGUUGUCCGGAAUCAUUGGGCGUAAAGCGCGUGUAGGCGGCUAGGUAAGUCUGCUCUGAAAGCCCGGGGCUCAACCCCGGGAGGCGGGUGGAUACUGUCUAGCUCGAGUCCGGAAGAGGAGUGUGGAAUUCCUGGUGUAGCGGUGAAAUGCGCAGAUAUCAGGAGGAACACCAAUUGCGAAGGCAGCUCGCUGGGACGUAACUGACGCUGAGACGCGAAAGCGUGGGGAGCAAACAGG